GUACCAGCAUCAAGAGAAGAUGAAAAAGCAAAACGAAGUCCUGUUUGAAUAUUGUGACUGUUUUUAAAGACAGAUAAAAGGGUAAAGAAAAUAAUUCCCAUUCAUCCUUUUGUUUAGUUUUUGGCAUUGUAGCUAAGAUUCUCCUAGCAAUUGUUUUCCCCUUCUGCCUUAAGGAAAUCCGCUAAAAAUCUUGGGUUUUGGCAGGCUCGAUUUUCUCAUUUUCCCUCAUAACUAAUUCUUCUGCUUUUUAAUCCGGAGAAACUAGGAACAAUCCGGCCCAAGAUGGAAAUAAGUCUGGGAAGCUGCGAAGAGUGUGAUUUCCGAUCGCACCACCCACCGGCCUCCCGCUUCAAAGUUCUCCUGCCCAGUGUGAACCUCACUUCUGGCUUUUUCUACAAAAGUGGCCAUGAGCGCCCAAUGCACAGAAUGAAUUCGGCUACAAAGAGGCCUUUGAGAGCUCCCGAGGAAGUGCCCCACUGGGAAACCAGGUGGAUGGCAAACGUUCCCUUUUCAUUACAAAUGAGUUCAGGGACAGGGCCACCCUGAUGGGACUCUCAACUCCAUCCGAAAGCUAAGCCCCACCAGCCCACUCAUUUGAAAACCAAACAGGUUUCCUUCUGCCUCCCCAUUCCCUGUUCACAAACACGUUUACAAGUGCUUGAUAGGUGACCUUAUUUACUUAGUAACCUGUGGAUUCAUUUAUCUUGAAAUUAGUAGGUAAUGAAGUGGAAAACCUCAACAGCCCUCCCACUAAUUAACAUGAUAAUAAGAUUGUUUUGCUACAGAGGUACAAUUAGCAUGUAUGAGCCAAAGGGGAAGAAAGAUCAAUAAAAUGUCUGAAGGGUACUACUCCCAGGUCUCCAGAGAAGAACAAAGAAGGGAAACUACAGAUUUUAAGACCCAUCCGUGUAAACACAUCCAACUCUGAGACCGGACCCUACUGAAAUGAUUUGAUGCCUGCUGGAGAAGGAGGUGUGGAGAUAACUGAAAGGAAUUAAUUAUAAAGUACACAUUUUGGUGCAGUCGAUGGCCUUUGAAAAUAAAAGGGAAAAACUGGGCAUCUAUAGGUUUUUAAAAACCUGGCCAACAUCUACGUGCUUUGCAUUAAUUUUUAAAGGUAGAUUAUAAUUGCUUGAAAUUUACAUCUUUGGAGUGAAGAGGAGAACCCAUUCUUAUUUCUGGAAGGCAUUUCCAUGAUUUUCUGAAUUGUCCUGGAUUUAAUUAGCAGUAUUUGGGGCCAGUGAAUGGCAGAGUUCUGAAAGAAGGGCUAAGCAUUCCUGGGGAGAAGCUGGAAGUUGCUUCCUGAACAGUCAUCCUAACAGUCAUCCUACUAGACACUAAGUAGGGCUGGGGGCCCAUGUGUGUUGGUGGACACCAAGGAAUGCUUUGAGCGAAGGACCCUGGGGAAGAAGGAAAAGGGAAGGGCUGUGCACACGAGAUCUUCUUGCUUCCUCCUCUGCACACUGGUUUGGUGAAAGGCCAACGCGAGGCUCACUCUGAUGAUUAUCCACUACUUAGUGAGAAAAACCAACACUUCUAGAUUUUAAGUAGAUGCACAGACACCUGCACAAGCCCCUGGUUUUUUUCUGAUGUUUUUAGCCUCAUAACAGACCUUACCUUUGACUUACUGGGUUGUAAGAAUGUGGGAAUUCUUACAAUGAGAAACCAAGAGAGCCAUUCACAACCAUAUGUAAAAAGGAUUACCAAUCUUUUGGAACUUCGGCACACCAUUUUUUUCUCCAUUCCAUAGCAUUGUCACAUAACCGAAAACGCAUGCCCAUAUAGGGCACAUGCAAAUUCUAAAACCCAAGUGAAUUUACUUUAAAAUAAUUUUUAUUUCAGAAUAACUUGAGAAUUUUCCAAUAUCUCCAGAGAUCAUUGGAGGCACCCUAGGGGGUCAUAUAAUCUUGCCUAGGUAAAGCUGCCCUAGAAAAAAGAGUAUUUUAAUAACCAAAGUCGAUUCCUCUUAGGAAGAAUUCCCUUUGUGUUCUAUAACCUAGCUUUAAAUCCAAAGUCCUCAUCUUUGAACAAUCAGAGCAAUAUGAUGUAGCCCAGGAGAGUCAGAAGUUGAAUUCCAUUCAGAGAAAUGUGCAACUCGGAGACAUGAAACUGCACCGCAUUUGCACUGGCUAAGUCUUUCAGGGAUAAAACAAUAGUCCCCACUUGUUGGGUGCAACACAUAUCGUCUAGUUUUCUCAAUCCUCAAAGGUAAAUAUUAAUGCCUCCAUUUUACAGAUAGCAAAACUCAGGCUUAGAGAGCCCUGUAGCCAUCUCAAAGUCCAACAGCCAGUUGAAAGAGAGGUGGAAUUAAACGUAAAUUCUUUUGGUUCUAGCAAAAGCCCCUAUCAGUAUCUCACCGUCUUUCUUGGGAUGAUGAACUGUCUUGCUGGAAACCCCCUUAAGAGCCAGUUUUGAAAUUGUUUUGAAGUCCCCCUGACCUCUGUCUCCAGAAAGCAUUUAUUCUUUGGUGUACUUACUAUAUUGGCAACUUAUGUUAAUAAUUUUUAAAGCCAUGACCCACUGUGAGGUGCUAAACAUUUCUUCUGGCUAGAACUUCUCCGACAGCAUAUAUAAAGCUUCUCACAAGUUAACAGCAAGCUUCCUUCAUUUGGUUUUAAUGACUUUGUAAAAUAAAUACCCAAGAUUGUUACUAAAAAAUAAAAUAAAGUGUUUCAGUGGGAGAAUAUAGAAGAUAUAAAUUUAACUUAAUAUAAUUCCCUUACUCCUUGUCAAGGGUGAACAUGUGACGAGAAAUUUUUAGAAGGGCUCCGAUGAGCUGGUUGUAAUAAGUAGCCUUUUUGGCCUAGAUUUGUAUCUUCCUUGAGAAUAGUAGUAAUUUUCGAGUUUCUUUCCAGAUUUUUUUUCCUUGCAUAUCCACUGUACAAUUGGGAUCUUGUCUCAAGGUGUGAAGCUUUUGCAAAUUUAUAAAAUCAUGUCGUCUGCCUUGCGUUCUUGGGAAGUACCUGACAUGAACAAGACUGAAUCCCCAGACUGCUCACAAGAUCACAACUGCCUCUCUUGUCACCCGGCUCUGUGAGCGUGGGCCAGUUUGGCAUCAUUCUGCUGUUUGGACAGCCCUGUGGAGGCACAGGUCGCUGAGCAUUGUAUUUCAUCCACACAUUUUCUCAACAAUGUUGCCUUGCAGUUUGAAAGACAAGCAGGGUGGCCCAGGUAUCACAUUCCUCCAAGUCUCCCGGGCAGGACUGAGCUUUAAAUGUGUGGGGACCAGUAGCACAUGAGGAGCCUCCCAGGUCAAGGGAAGGCUUGGGAGGCUUGCCACCGUUGUCUACUGGGGAAGGAAAUCCAGGCCCAGUUAAAACCUGGGCUCCUGGGGAGCUGGCUGGGAGAGAGGGCAUGUGAAGGUUAGGAGCCGCUGGAACAGGUGUGAUGUUAGAGUCUCAAGUGAGAGGAUGGCCAUGGUUUUUCCUCAUCUUCGUGCUUAAAGUAGUAGUUUUAGAAGAGCUUCCAGGUGCUUCUGUGAGUCAGGGUUCUCAUGCACUCGUGCUAGUCACCCCGGUAGGUGACUUCAAGGCACUCUGUUCAUAGCCCCUGGUUGCACACUCACAGACAGAAAGUGAGGGACCCAUGGGAUGUGUAAGGAGAAGCACUCUGCCUACAAAACCAUUAGCAUCCUAAGACUGGUCACCAUGGGACAGUGACGACAUGACUUUUGGCUGUCAGUCAGUCCUUUUGAAAUGGAGCAUGCAGUUUCUUUCUCCCCUCCCUCCCCUCCCCUCCCCUCCCCUCCUCCCUCACCCUCCCCUUCUCCUCCCCCUCCCCCACCCCUCCCUUCUGCUCCCUUCCUUUCUUUUCUUGACAGAGUUUCACUGUUGUCAGCCAGGCUGGAGUGCAAUCACACGAUCUCAGCUCACUGCAACCUCCACCUCCGAAGUCAUUCUCCUGCCUCAGCCUCCUGAGCAGCUGGGAUUAUAGGCGCCCGCCACCACAUCCAGCUAAUUUUUUUUGUAUUUUUGGUAGAGGCAGGUUUUCACCAUGUUGGCCAGGUUGGUCUUGAACUCCUGACCUCAGGUGAUCUGCCCACCUCAGACUCCCAAAGUGCUGGGAUUACAGGCAUGAGACACCGCACCCUGGCCUGUAUUCUUUUCUUUUUCAAGCCAGUCAAACUUAACAGUGGGUAAUUCUGUAUUCUUUAUUGGGGUGAAUGAUAGUUACUAAAUAUGAUCUACUAUUAUCUAAAAUAAAUCAUCAGUGCUUUUUA